GACGAACGCUGGCGGCGUGCUUAACACAUGCAAGUCGUACGGGCUUGAGGGGCAACUCUCGAGUCAGUGGCGAACGGGUGCGUAACACGUGAGCAACUUGCCCUAUGGUGGGGGAUAGCCGGCCCAACGGCCGGGUAAUACCGCAUAUGGCGCCGAGGUCGCAUGGCCUUGGUGGGAAAGCGGCCGCAAGGUCGCGCCAGAGGUGGGGCUCGCGACGUAUCAGCUUGUUGGCGGGGUAACGGCCCACCAAGGCUACGACGCGUAGCUGGU
rnacentral:rRNA from 1 species